AAGAGAGAGAAGUGUGUGAUCUCCAUUGUUUUUCUUCCAUUGAAACCAUAGCUAAAUUCCUUCUCAAGUCUCAAGAAUAUUCGGAUUUUAAGGUGAAAUUGGAGGAAUCAACUCCAAAAGUCUUCUACUAGGAUUAGAAACCCGGUCGAGUUGCAGAUUAGUGUGGACCCCUGUAGCCCAGCGAGCUCUGAACAGAAGAGAAGUACAGGUUGAGGUCUACUCUAUCUUAGAAUAGAUACUCUGGAAGGAGGACUUCCUUAUGUAUUAAGUUUGAUAUUGAUGUUGUAGUUUGAUGUUGUAUUUUGAGGUUGUAAGUUUAGCCUUAACGUUUGGGUAUAGGAGAGAUACCUAAGCGUGGCGGUAACACCCAGUUUUCUGCUGGCUAGAUGUAAGGUUCCGCGACGCAUUAUCAGUGAUUUUGUAAUACAAGUAAGAGUUGAAAA